rnacentral:rRNA from 1 species
AUACGGAGGGUGCGAGCGUUAAUCGGAAUUACUGGGCGUAAAGCGUACGUAGGCGGUUGGUUAAGUUAGAUGUGAAAGCCCCGGGCUUAACCUGGGAACUGCAUUUAAAACUGGCGAACUAGAGUUGAGUAGAGGGGAGUGGAAUUUCAGGUGUAGCGGUGGAAUGCGUAGAGAUCUGAAGGAACACCAGUGGCGAAGGCGACUCCCUGGACUCGAACUGACGCUGAGGUACGAAAGCGUGGGUAGCAAACGGGAUUAGAAACCCCGGUAGUCC